GCUACAAUGGGCGGUACAAAGGGUCGCGAACCCGCGAGGGGGAGCCAAUCCCAAAAAGCCGCUCUCAGUUCGGAUUGCAGGCUGCAACUCGCCUGCAUGAAGCCGGAAUCGCUAGUAAUCGCGGAUCAGCAUGCCGCGGUGAAUACGUUCCCGGGCCUU
rnacentral:rRNA from 1 species